rnacentral:rRNA from 1 species
CAGCCGCCGCGGUAAUACGGAGGGUGCAAGCGUUAAUCGGAAUUACGGGGCGUAAAGCGUGCGUAGGCGGUUCGUUAAGUCUGUUGUGAAAGCCCCGGGCUCAACCUGGGAAUGGCAAUGGAUACUGGCGAGCUAGAGUGUGUCAGAGGAUGGUGGAAUUCCCGGUGUAGCGGUGAGAUGCGUAGAGAUCGGGAGGAACAUCAGUGGCGAAGGCGGCCAUCUGGGACAACACUGACGCUGAGGCACGAAAGCGUGGGGAGCAAACAGGAUUAGAUACCCCCGUAGUCCCUGUCUCUUAUAC